rnacentral:rRNA from 1 species
GAUGAACGCUGGCGGCGUGCCUAAUACAUGCAAGUCGAGCGAACAGACGAGAAGCUUGCUUCUCUGAUGUUAGCGGCGGACGGGUGAGUAACACGUGGAUAACCUACCUAUAAGACUGGGAUAACUUCGGGAAACCGGAGCUAAUACCGGAUAAUAUUUUGAACCGCAUGGUUCAAAGGUGAAAGACGGUCUUGCUGUCACUUAUAGAUGGAUCCGCGCCGCAUUAGCUAGUUGGUAAGGUAACGGCUUACCAAGGCAACGAUGCAUAGCCGACCUGAGAGGGUGAUCGGCCACACUGGAACUGAGACACGGUCCAGACUCCUACGGGAGGCAGCAGUAGGGAAUCUUCCGCAAUGGGCGAAAGCCUGACGGAGCAACGCCGCGUGAGUGAUGAAGGUCUUCGGAUCGUAAAACUCUGUUAUUAGGGAAGAACAAAUGUGUAAGUAACUGUGCACAUCUUGACGGUACCUAAUCAGAAAGCCACGGCUAACUACGUG